GUGGGGAAUAUUGGGCAAUGGGGGAAACCCUGACCCAGCAACGCCGCGUGAAGGAAGAAGGCUUUCGGGUUGUAAACUUCUUUUAUGAGGGAAGAUAAUGACGGUACCUCAUGAAUAAGCCACGGCUAACUACGUGCCAGCAGCCGCGGUAAUACGUAGGUGGCAAGCGUUGUCCGGAUUUACUGGGUGUAAAGGGCGUGUAGGCGGGACUGCAAGUCAGAUGUGAAAUUUCGGGGCUCAACCCCGAAACUGCAUUUGAAACUGUGGUUCUUGAGUAUCGGAGAGGCAGGCGGAAUUCCUAGUGUAGCGGUGAAAUGCGUAGAUAUUAGGAGGAACACCAGUGGCGAAGGCGGCCUGCUGGACGACAACUGACGCUGAGGCGCGAAAGCGUGGGGAGCAAACAGGAUUAGAAACCCCGGUAGCC
rnacentral:rRNA from 1 species